ensembl:lncRNA
ACAGUGAGCUUACUUUUCUGAACUAUUCCCUGUUAUUCCUUAGCUCCUUGAAAUCAGCAUGCUAUGUCAGAUUGCCCAAAAGAAAAGAAAAGAAGAAAAAAAAAGUCCUGGGUGUGAAGGGAAAACUGAUCCUUUGGAAGAAAAAAGACGAGGAUUCCUGUUGAGGACCGGAUGGAGAAUUCUUUUCUUGCUGGAGAAGAGGCUCACCGGGGGCAGCAGAGGCAGCAACUUCUAACUUCUGCAAACAUGCAUCCUGAUCAGAAUCCCUCAGGGCUCUAGCGCCUGGAACUGAGCUGGCAGGAGGAAGGGCUAGGCCAGGAGUAACGUUUUUUAAGGCAAAGGAUAGCGCGGGGGUAGGGGGGGAGGCGGGGGGAGGUAGAGGGAAUGUCACAGAGAAGAUUUUUCCUUGCUUAGCAUGGAAAUUCCAUGGGAAUUCAUGCUAUUCCUCUCAGUCCGGUGGGAGGGUAGUAACAUCCCCCACCUCCACCCGCUGUAACUUCUGAUUUCGCCGGGAGUAACCAGAGAGCGCGCGCCAAGGCCCAGUGCCUUCAGCGGGGCGAAGAUUUGAUCGAGAACAAAAGAACGCUUGCCAAUCAGAAAACGCUACCCGAGAACAAGAAGUACUUCUCUUUGUGUUUUGAAAACUCUUUAAUUAGCAAAUGCCUUUGGUUUCUAAUACGCAUUAAAACUUUUCUACGCAGAUUCCAAGAAUCGAAUCAUUGCUUCCGCGACGAAGGUGGGACUCCCAAGGGCCACACGCCGCAGAACUAAAGAAAAUAGGGCAAUUAAAUACUCGCUGUAAACCUGUACAGUGUUCCUGGGCACUCGGCCGCAGGUUUUUUUACAAUAAUUUCCCGCACUAGUUUUCUUAUGACUUCACUAAAGCUAUACCAAAUCCCUAGACUCUGGGCCGUACGUGCGGGCAGGGUGGCCUGAUGCCUGGGUCCCCCGCGCCCGCCGCUCGUCGGCCCUGUCCCCUUGGAGGGGUCGACACUUCCUCCUGCCUUAAGCCGGCCCCCUCUGCCAGACUCCUACUUCUCUUCGGCCUCGGCCCCUCCUCUUUUUUACAACCCGGAGAGGGGGUGAGCGGGGAUUGUGGCUUCACGUGGUCUGAGUGUGCGGAGAGAAAAGCAAUCCGCGAGGCGCACCCAUUUCUUGCCCCAUUCCGAACCCCACAUUUAGGAUCCUGCUACCUAAAAGGCCCCCGCCAAACCCAGCAUUUUCAGCCCAAGGAGGGCUAAACACGACUCGGGGUCACGUCUCUCUCCGCGGAGGCAGUACUCUUAUUCUCAGGCUCUCCAUG